rnacentral:lncRNA from 1 species
GUUGCACAAAUCAUUUUCUCAAAACAAAACAACAAUAUAAGCACAAUAAAGAGAAAACAUUCAAUAAAAUAUAUGUCCUCUACGAAAAAGGAAACAAAGUACAAUUUAUCGUAUUACAAAUCCAACAUCCUGUAGCAGAUAAAAAAAAUCAACGACAAUUGUAGUCAUUCCAUAUCUCAUUUGCAAUGGCAUCUCUCAUUACAGCCAUCUGGUUUUGUUGCUUGAUAGAAGAUAUAACCUCUCUGCCAUAUGCUCACGAUAAAUUAUGUAGUGGAGACCAAGAUGCAAAGAUUCCACUCACAUAAACAAGGAUUAUUGCCGAUAUGCUUGCCAAAGAUUCAAAGCUCACCCAUUUCACAAAAUAUGGUCUAUGGUACAACAAAACGAAGGUACAAUAUAUACAGUCUCUAGCUCAAUUGUAUGUAAUUUCAAAGCUCACCUCCUUCUUAUGCUUAUCUUUCUUUGCCGAAAUCUGCACAAAUAUAAACAAUGAGAAACAAUUCUUUUUCCACAAAUUCUCUUGGCGGAAGAUAUGCAAGGACAACCGUAAACAAAGAACCGUAAAAAUUAUCUGAAUAGAAAUGAAAUUAUGUGUCAAAGGUUUUCACCAAAUACACUCACUGUCUCAGUCUAACUCAGAUUGAAGGGGGGGUUAAACCUGCACUAGAAAAUAUAGUAUCCAAAUAUCAUCCAAGAUGAUUUAGAGAACACAUUAAAACUUCAGAAUCAUUUUCUAAUGUACCUUAAACUAAUAUACGUAUAGACUAGAAGAUGACCAGGUGGCAAAGGGGUCAGAUCUAAUUCCUAUAAAUGAUUAGGCUAGGCCAGUACUUUUCCAUAAUGUCAUUCUAUAUGUUAGUUUAAUUCUACAUACUUAUAGUCAUGAGUUCCAUGUGAACAUGCAACAACAAAAUUGUUCUACAGUUUUAGACUUGUUGAAACAUCAGCUACAAAGAAAUUACUCACAGCCAUAGAGAAAGAAAGCGACUGCAACUAUAAUAAAUUUACCUGCUGCAGAAUUCUUCAUAUUCAGUGCUAGAGGCAUUGCAUCAUACUAGUCUCUGCUGUCAUCAGCUCCAUCAUCCCAACCUGACAGAAAAUUAAAGAAUGCUCUUUUCUAUAGUGCGUACAUGUUCGGUAUUUCAUGUUAUGUUCAAGCCAACCACAAAUCUUUGCUUGCGACUGCCUUCCUCACACGAAAAGAGGCAUUCUCAUCGAUCAUGACUAAUAUAUGGGAUGAUGCUCAGAUUUUUUUCACCAAGCCUACCAAAUAAUAUUUUUUUGAAAAUUGUAGGAUAUACACUUAAAUUGCCAAGUUGAAGGAUUGAGACAUGAGACAAUUUCACAAGCUCGCUCAAACGAAUCAGAAGGAUAGUAGAGAUUAUUGUAGCACAUCAUGACAUGAGUAAACACAAUACAACUCAUGGCCAUUGUUCUGUAGAUUUUUAAAACAUAGUUGUUUUUUAACUUCACAGCUAAAGGAUUUUC